rnacentral:rRNA from 1 species
UACGUAGGGUGCGAGCGUUGUCCGGAAUUAUUGGGCGUAAAGGGCUCGUAGGCGGUUUGUCGCGUCGGGAGUGAAAACAUCCAGCUUAACUGGGUGCUUGCUUUCGAUACGGGCAGACUAGAGGUAUGCAGGGGGAGAACGGGAAUUCCUGGUGUAGCGGUGAAAUGCGCAGAUAUCAGGAGGAACACCGGUGGCGAAGGCGGUUCUCUGGGCAGUAACUGACGCUGAGGAGCGAAAAGCGUGGGGGAGCGAACAGG